GGGGGGCGGGGCUUGCUUUGUUUUUACUAAUCUGUCCCUAAGCGACGGAGCCGCUCACCCUGCCUCCAUCGCCGACACCUCCCACUGCAGGCUAAUAGAUUUCCGCCGCCGCCGCUCAGGCCCAUUAGCGGCGAGACCGCUUCCCCCCUUAACGCGCCUUCCUUCCUGUGCGGAGACAAUAAAUUCAGGAGAUAAAUCAGCCUCCACCCCGAGAGCCAGCCGCCGAGGGACGGUGGUGGUCAGGGGUGAGCAGGAGGCAGGGGAGACAACAGUUCUAUUUCUCACUAGAUCUCUAAUUGGGUGUCACCGCCUGUCGGAAGAUGAUGAUAAACUCCGAGCCGGUCCUGAGCGGACGCACACGGGCCUCCGUCCACACGCGGCGGGUCAGAGAGAUCGGGCAUCGGGCUGUGACUGACGGCUGGGGCCCGGGGCCCGGGGCCGGAGGCAGAUUUAUUUUCCAAAUAAACGCCCCAACGUAUUCCUGACACUCCAUCAACGCUCAGUUUGGCCCCACGUUCAAGACCGGGGUCGGUGCCGGGGAGAAAAGAGUGAGUCAAAGAUGAGUCAGCCGGGCUGUGCCCGCCUCCCGCCGCCCCAGCCCGUGGGAGAUGACACACAUGCAAGAAUUUGGCCAGUGAAAUCUGCUUUCUUGAAAAAUGAGACAUCUACCUGCCUCCAGUUUUUCUCUCCAAUUCUUCAAGAUUUCACCAACAUUCCCAGAAUGUCUCCCUGACCAUGUGUCUGAUGUGCUCAGCGCCGGGGAGGACAGGUGUUUGGACUAGAAGAUCUGGGCUCAGCCAACCCUUGUGUGCUAACGCAGCGGCUGAUUGGAAAUAAGAUGGAUCAGUGCAGUUGAGAAGACUUUGCGAAGCUUCCGACUUUUAAAAUUGAAUGUUCCUGUUCAUACAAAUAUUUCUCAGCCUAUACUUUCAAUAACUGGCUAAUUAUCUGUGUAUAAUAUGCAUGUACUACUGUGCCUGUAGAUGAUGUAUGUUAUAAAACACACGAUGAAAUAGAAAUCUUUAAAGGACAA